rnacentral:rRNA from 1 species
UUGAAUGGCCGCGGUAUUUUGACCGUGCUAAGGUAGCAUAAUCAUUAGUUUUUUAAUUGAAAGCUAGAAUGAAGGGUUGGAUGAAAAAAUGACUGUCUCUAGUUAAUUUUUAUAGAAUUUUAUUUUUAAGUUAAAAAGCUUAAAUUUUAUUAAAAGACGAGAAGACCCUAUAGAGUUUUAUAAAUUUAUAUGGUUUUUGUUUAGGAUUUAGAUUUAAUUUUAAUAAAUUUAUUUUAUUGGGGUGAUGUAAAAAUUUAAUAAACUUUUUUAUAUCUAAAUAUUAAUUUAUAGAUUUUUGAUCCAUUAUUUUUGAUUAUAAGAUAAAAUUACCUUAGGGAUAACAGCGUAAUUUUAUUAGAGAGUU